CGUCACUUCUGAUCAUCAUAGCGGAUACGCGAAGAUAACUGGUGGGUAUUUCUAGAGCUAUUACGUGGCACCAAAGCUCCCGAUUUUUGAAGAGCGCAUCUAUUAGAUUAAAACCAAUCGGGUUCGCGCCCGUCAUUGGUGACUCUGAAUAACUAUAGCUGAUCGCAUGGUCUUGAACCGGCGACGUGUCUAUCAAGUGUCUGCCUUAUCAACUUUCGAUGGUAGUUUAUGUGCCUACCAUGGUUGUAACGGGUAACGGAGAAUAAGGGUUCGACUCCGGAGAGGGAGCCUGAGAAACGGCUACCACAUCCAAGGAAGGCAGCAGGCGCGCAAAUUACCCACUCUCGGCAUGAGGAGGUAGUGACGAAAAAUAACGAGACCGUACUCUUUGAGGCCGGUUAUCGGAAUGGGUACAAUUUAAACCCGUUAACGAGGAUCUAUGAGAGGGCAAGUCUGGUGCCAGCAGCCGCGGUAAUUCCAGCUCUCAAAGUGUAUAUCGUCAUUGCUGCGGUUAAAAAGCUCGUAGUUGGAUCUGCGCCUCAGGACUUGGUCCGCCCACUGGGCGAGAACUAGGCUCCUGGGCUAGUUCUGCUGGUUUUCUCUACGUUGCCUUCAUCGGUCGCGUAGGGUGGCUAGCGAGUUUACUUUGAAAAAAUUAGAGUGCUUCACGCGGGCUUAUGUCUGAAUACUCGUGCAUGGAAUAAUAGAAUAGGAUCUCGGUUCUAUUUUGUUGGUUUUCUGAUCUGAGAUAAUGGUUAAGAGGGACGGACGGGGGCAUUCGUAUCGCUGCGUGAGAGGUGAAAUUCUUGGACCGUAGCGAGACGUCCGACUGCGAAAGCAUUUGCCAAGAAUGUCUUCAUUAAUCAAGAACGAAAGUCAGAGGCUCGAAGGCGAUCAGAAUUCCCGGCCCAUCC
rnacentral:rRNA from 1 species